rnacentral:lncRNA from 1 species
UUUCAGAAGAAACAAUGUGUUUAAGAAAGAAAUAUAUAGUUUCCUUUUAAGGCUUCCUGGUUAAUUGUGGUUAUUUCAUAUUCCUAACUCGGAGGAAGAGAAUUGUUGAUUUCACCUUCUUUUUUCUUACAUGGAAAUAAAAGGUCAACAGCUAUAAAACUAAGGGGAAUGUAUCAGAAUCAAGCUAUUUUUGUCUGUAAUCAUUUAUUAAGGAAAAAAUUUAUCAUACACCUUCCACAGAUGUAUGGUAGUAGAGAAUAAUUUUUUAACUAAUCCAAUUAAAGUCAAUUUGGGGAUAGUAGUACUUCUCUAAUUGUUUCUGAGACAUACGCAUUAGCAACAGAGAGUGUUGUGUUGUCAUAGCAACGGGCCUAGGGUAAUGACUUCAGAAAUAGAAUUGAAUUAUGUCACAAUGGCAAUUUGGGAACAGCUGCCUCUGUGCAAGUUUAGUUAGGAGGGACAGAGAAGUGUGCUGGAUGUGAUGAAACCAUGUGAGGAUUUGUGGAUCCCACCUUUAGGUGCAUAGAGAGAGCCCAUGCCCUUCUAUACUUCUCUGUUCAUCGGUCUGUCCUGCCAAGUCUGGUGUGAGUGUGAAGUUGUGGCAAAAGGGAUUUCCUAUUCAUAAUUUGACCUGGUGGACAACAACUUUCCUAGUAAAUUGCUGAUGUUGCUGAGGAGGCAGCAGUAUCAAAGCCCUUGUGGAUGAAGAUACAACAAGUUUUGGGAGGCUUUGGCAUUUCUAUACAGUGCUGCUCCCUGAAUGAAGCAAAGCAAGCUAGAGGAAAACUAGCAAAGAUGCAAAAAGAGUACAGGUAGCACAGGAUUUUAUUCUGCUCCACAAAGCUGAGAUGAGGAUCUGGAGUGAACAGGAUCAUUAUGGUUCCUGAACUUGUCCAUUUGUGGAGAAUUCAGAUGGAAAAAGACAAACAAAGAUACAAAGAAAAGAAAGGAAGAACUCCUUUUUUGAUAUCCGUACAUUUCCCACCACUCAUACUAAUGCCAAGAGACUGAAAGAGAGAACAGAACACUAAAAAAAAAUAUAUAGUUCCCUAUCUUCUUGAGAACAAGAGUGUAUACAGAAUGAAACUGAUAACACAAGAGUGUAUACAGAAUGAAACCAAUUUGAUGGAAUACAGUUUUGGACAGAAGAAAAGAUUAAUUGGUGUCCUAAAGAAGACUUCUGAAAGAUGAAUGGUCUUCGUACAGUAAAAGUCCAUGGAUAAAAAGAGUAAGAGGGACAAUUCCAGUCAUAAAGAUUUGUCUGUAUUCUAUUUGAAAGCAGAAAAAUUGGAUGGUCAACAGAAGCAGAUAUCUUGGGCAUAAAUGCCAAUAACACAGCCUUUGCCUGGUACUCUCUCACUCCACUGACUACUCCCUCCAAAAGCUCCAAAAUAACGUCCAAUUUACUUUGGCAUUGGGGGAAGAUGUUGGAUUUGUUCUUAAAAGAUAUUGUAAGGUUUCAUCUUCAUCAUUUUUCGAACCCAGUCCGACUACCCUGCCUUUGUGUAAGAAUUUGAGUUGGCAAAUUGAAAUCUGCCUAACUAUCCCAAAAGGAGAAAGCUAGUGGGGAUUCAUAUCAGCUCCACUUGCUGUGGAAUUUCCCUCUUCUCAAAGUCUGAAUUCACCAACAUGCUUGUUUCACAGCAAGCUUGAUAUGACUCAGUAGUGUGCUCUGACAGCCAAAAGGGCAAACCACAUUUUGGGGUGCAUUAAACAAACUAUAGCCAAUCAGUCAAAAGAGGUAAUUCUCCCACUCUCUAUUCAGUGUUGUUGAAGCUUCAGAAAAUUUGUUUUAAAAAGUGGCAAAAAUUAAUUGUACUUCUAACAAGAUGUUUGACAAAACAUGAGAGUUCUGUCCUAAAUGCACUUCAUCCAGAAAAGAUUCAAUUAAUAAGACAUUAGGUAGGUGCAGUUAAUUACCUGUCUUUCAGUAUUGAAGGCAAACGUGAAUUUGUUUUGAACGUGUAUAUAUAUGUGGGUGGGUGCAUAGAUAUAUCUAUACAUGUAUAUAUGUAUGUAUAUGAAGUAUGUACUUUAAAUGUUCCUUCCCUAAAUUGUUCCUAGUCUCAGUCUUAUUAAUGUAUUAAAAUAAAAAUAAACUUUAGACCA